AGAGUUUGAUCCUGGCUCAGGACGAACGCUGGCGGCGUGCCUAAUACAUGCAAGUCGAACGCACUGACGGAGAACUUGUUCUCUUGACGUGAGUGGCGCACGGGUGAGUAACACGUGGGAAACCUACCCUUCAGCGGGGGAUAACCAUCGGAAACGAUGACUAAUACCGCAUAGACGACAGAACCGCCUGGUUCAAUCGGGAAAGACGGCUUCGGCUGUCACUGAAGGAUGGUCCCGCGCUGCAUUAGCUAGUUGGUAAGGUAACGGCUUACCAAGGCGAUGAUGCAUAGCCGACCUGAGAGGGUGAUCGGCCACAUUGGGACUGAGACACGGCCCAAACUCCUACGGGAGGCAGCAGUAGGGAAUCUUCCGCAAUGGACGCAAGUCUGACGGAGCAACGCCGCGUGUGUGAAGAAGGUUUUCGGAUCGUAAAGCACUGUUACUAGAGAAGAACAGCCGAUAGAGUAACUGUUAUCGGUUUGACGGUAUCUAACCAGAAAGUGACGGCUAACUACGUGCCAGCAGCCGCGGUAAUACGUAGGUCACAAGCGUUGUCCGGAUUUAUUGGGCGUAAAGGGAGCGCAGGCGGUUUGUUAAGUCUGAUGUGAAAGCCCACGGCUCAACCGUGGAACGGCAUUGGAAACUGGCAAACUUGAGUAUAGAAGAGGAAAGUGGAGUUCCAUGUGUAGCGGUGAAAUGCGUAGAUAUAUGGAGGAACACCAGUGGCGAAGGCGACUUUCUGGUCUAUAACUGACGCUGAGGCUCGAAAGCGUGGGGAGCGAACAGGAUUAGAUACCCUGGUAGUCC
rnacentral:rRNA from 1 species